UCUGGUAACUAUGGCGUGAAGGUUACACACCUUCCCAUUCCGAACAGGAUUGUUAAGCUUCACAGCGCUGAUGGUACUGCACUGGAGACGGUGUGGGAGAGUAAGACGUUGCCAGGU
rnacentral:rRNA from 1 species